rnacentral:lncRNA from 1 species
UAAUGAGAUGAGUCAGAAUUGAUCUUCAUUCUAAAGUUUCAAAACAAUCUUCACCUAUGCGUUAAAGAAACAACGCAUUAAGCUCGUGUAAGUAUAUCAAGAAUUAAACUUUACAUUUUAAAUUAAUCCAUUACUAUAUAUAUAUAUACACACCUUACAAAUCAAUAUCAUCACACAUGAAUUCAAUUCAUUAAUAACUAUAACGAGGUACUAAGUUAACAACUUUGUGAAUUACUUACCAUUAUCAUCAUUAUAAUCACUUACCUUAAAAAUCUAUUGCCCAAUUGUAGAUUCCAUAGAACCUAUAGGAUAAAAGUCAAUAGAUCGCACGGAAGUGCCAUUGUCAAUUGCACAAGUGUGCUACUGUCACUUGCAUCAUAGUGCCACUAUCAUUUGUGCGUAUAAAAAUCUUCCGCCACUUAUAUCCUACUAGUUCUCAUUUUAUUUAUUUGGGCAUUUAAACUAUACAAUUUAUUUACAUUUUCUCAACAAAUAAAAUAUUUCAAACUUUACUAUUUUUACAAUUUAGUCCUUAUCCAUAUAAAAUUAACAAUCAUCAAAUUUCACUUGACGUCUAUUUUUCAACAUUUAAUAUUUCACUUAAAUACUUCAUAUCAUCAUCUAUUUCACCAAUCUAACUUUUACACUCUUUGCAAUUUAGUCCUUUUCACCAAUUUCACUACACAUACACUUUUCAAUUCAUAAUAAGAAUACAAUUUCACAUUCAAAUAAAUUCCAUAAAACAAAUCAUCAUUUUCAUAUGCAAAUAUUUCUCAUGUAUAAUACUAAACCAAUUUAUCAACUUUUCCAUUUAGGGUUUAAUUAAACAAGUAAAAUUAUUGAUAUACUUACAAUCUAAUACUUGGAUGAGUCAUUUUCUUCUUCUUCACUCUUUUGCAACUCCCUUACCUUUAUCCCUAAUCUGUGCUUCACUUCUCAUCUCUUUCUCUUCAAUAACAUAAAACACAUUUACAAUAUUUAAUACCAAAACAACAAUUACAUAAUAUUCCCAUGCAUUUAGAUGAGAUAGACAUGAAAUCCUAAAUAAAUAAAUAAAAAACUUCAUCAUCUUACCUUCCUUCUCAAAUCCCUAACUUUUCGUUUCUCUCUCCACAAAUAUGUAUUCUAGCUAACUUCACAAACGACUUAACUUGCCAUGAAGUUGUU